CUUCCAACUUAGGAAAGAGAUCUUGGGGUCACUGUGGAUACUUCUCUGGAAACGUACACUCAAUGUGCAGUGGCAAUCAAAAAAAGCAAAGAAAAUGUUGAGAAUCAAUAAAAAGGGA